CAUUGUGUCACCCCAGAUGCACAUGAUCUUAUCUAAUUUCAGAAGCUAAGCAGACUUGAGCCUGGUGAGUUUUUGGAUGGGAGACUCAGAGAGAAUGCCAGGGUCUCCAAGU
rnacentral:rRNA from 1 species